CUCCCUCCUCGGUUCUCUCUCUUUACAACUCAAGGGAGGGUGGGGUCUUCUUCUAGGCUUAGCCCUAGCUGCACCUCCUUAUUAAUCGGCAUCGCCGUUUUCUGGAUUCCAACAGUGAAGGUUACGCCGCCGCUAUUCCUGGCAAUUCCCACUUUCUCGUCGCUCGGCGUCGAUCCACAGCUCACACCGAUGGCACAGGGACCGCUGCCUUUCCUUAAUUACCUAAAAGCUAAGCUCUUUUCCUCUUUCUCUUCUAUGGGGUAAAUUCGAAUGAUGUUGUGGUGUACUAGUUAACCCUAGUGGAGUUGUGGUUCUCCUUGCUUGUUCAUAAGUGAUAUGAAACAUAGGGUUGCCAAUUUCUUUAACAAAGUUUGCAUAUCCGAAUUUCCUAUAAAUGAAGCUGUGUACUUAAGAGUUUUGUAUAGAUAAUUUGGAUACAUUAAGUAUAUAUCCUCUCCAUUUCUAUGCGACUGGGCAUGCAUUAAGAAGUGUGGUAAUCAUAGUCUGUUGAUUUUAUAGGAAGUAAACCGAUUAUGCUAUUUAUCUCUUUAUCCAGCAUUUCUAUAUAACUGAUCUUGUGUUCUGUUGGGUAUAUGAAGACGAUGUAUUUGGGUAUAUAUUCACAAGAAAUCAUGAUUUUCUAAUAGUUUAGAAUAAGUGAAUUUGGGCAUUCUUGAGGUAAGAUAGCUAAAUAUUUGAUGCUUAUAUAAUUGAACUCUUGGGAGCAUGGAAUGUGAUUAUAUGAUAGAAAUUGGGCGAUAUUGAGCAUGUUACUAUGUGUUGGGCCAAUUUUAGUUUAAAAAUAAGGGAAGAACUACUUUUAAUAUUGAUUGGAGAAGUUGUGGUGAUUGAUUGUGUUAUAAUUUGCUUGUUAUAUGUUGAUGUGGUAAACGUGAGUGAAGUUUUAAGUUAAAGCAUUCUAACAUGUAGCAAGAUGAUGUAAUUGGAUCUCCACUCCUGUGUUUAAAAAAGCGCGCCUAGGUGCGGGCUUUAGUAUGGGCGCAUGGUUUGGGCUUUUUCCAGAGCCAGGCGCACAAACCUACGAGAGGCGCGGCCAAGGCGCAUGUAGGCGCCGAAAGCGCGCCUAGGCGCAAAAGCCCAAAAGCCUGCGCCUCUUGUGCAUUUAGGGUUAGGAGUAUUUAUUUCAAUUUUAGGUUUAGAGUUAUAACUUAAAAACAAAACACGCAUCUCCCUCACUCCAC
rnacentral:lncRNA from 1 species